rnacentral:rRNA from 1 species
UACGUAGGGUGCGAGCGUUGUCCGGAAUUAUUGGGCGUAAAGAGCUCGUAGGCGGUCUGUCGCGUCGAUCGUGAAAACUUGGGGCUUAACCCUGAGCUUGCGGUCGAUACGGGCAUGACUGGAGUUCGGCAGGGGAGACUGGAAUUCCUGGUGUAGCGGUGAAAUGCGCAGAUAUCAGGAGGAACACCAAUAGCGAAGGCAGCUCGCUGGGACGUGACUGACACUAAGGCGCGAAAGCGUGGGGAGCGAACAGG